AACCACUUCGGUGGUCAUCCGUAAAAAUUGGAACGAUACAGAGAAGAUUAGCAUGGCCCCUGCGCAAGGAUGACACGCAUAAACGAGAAGUAUCGCACUUUUUG
rnacentral:snRNA from 1 species